rnacentral:misc_RNA from 1 species
CACAAUAAAAUAUGAAGGCUGUACGCGGCUGUGCUCUCGGGCCAGUUUUGCGGAGGCCGAAUUAUUUAUUACCCUUGUCUUUUGCGCACUUGUUGUUUCCUGGGCGGGUUCGCCCGCCACCAGGACCACAUCAUAAACCUUUUUUAUGCAGUUGCAAUCAGCGUCAGUAUAACAAAUGUAAAUCAUUUA